GUUGGAGCAUUACUUUCUUCAUUGCAGAGGUGUGUGUGUGGGGGGGGGGGCUGAUAACAUGGGGAAUAGUAUGUACAUUCAUUUUACACUUGUCUCUUGGAGACAACUGUGAUGGUAUACUACAUGAGAUACAGUAUUUACAUGCGGUUGAGCAUGGCAUGUUUAAGAAAUAUAAGGCCUAUAUUGUAAACCAAGGAGUUUAUUUUGGCAACACAUUUAAAAGCGUAUACAUAAAAAAAUUAAACUGAUAUUCCAAAAAAUAAGGCAACAAGUAUAGAUAUGUCAUUCAAAAUCUUCAUAUUAUGUUUUGAGGGUUGGGUUUACAGGACUUAAACUAAUUGGGUCAAAUUCACAGACAUAGAUUAAGCCUAGUCAUGGACAAAAGAAAUCAAGCUCAAUGGAGAUUUACAGGACUGGCUCAGUCGGUGUCUGCAAAACUGGCCCAUAAAGUUAACUGUCAAAUGUGAUGGUCUCUUCUUUAUUUUUUUCAUGGCAUGACUCCAAAAAAUAAUAAGAAAUAAAAACACUUUACAAUCGGCUGCCAAUGAUCAGAAUAAAGAUGUGUAGGCUAUUCAAACAGCAACAAUGCCACCUCUCCUGAGAAAAUGUUACUUUAUUAAAUCACUUCGUUAUGGUACACAUAUUAACCACUAAUUAAUAGCUUAUAAGUGUGUAUAUAUUGUAAGUAGCUAAUAAGGCGUGUAGUGUGUUACUAGUCAUAUGUUUUUACCCAAAUUUUACCAGCUAAGUUUACAGAAAACACAUUCUCAUUUUCAGGAAUAACCUGGGAGCAAUUAGGUUUGCACAUUGUAAGAGUGAUAUUUCACUUUGUCAGCUCAGGGAUUUUAUCUGGACCCCCACUCAUGGUACAUAUAUACAGAUCUAUAAAACUAUUAAUUAGUGGUAAAUGUAUGUACAUUAAACAGUAUUACUAAAGACAUUGACAAAACAUAAAGAAGACCAUGGUACUAAAAUAAGUGAAACUGAUCCCUAAAUUAACAGGGGAAUAUAGUUGUACAACACAUUCAGGACAGAGGGAUGACCACAGACUGUUGUCAACAGACAUGCAUUGAUGAUAUCAGUGGUUGUCUGCAUGAUUGAGGGAAGAAAUCAAUGAUAUUUAGUGCAAAUAAACUGCAGACCUUUUAAAAUGUAAUUGCAAUUCUCAGUGCAGUCAUAUGAGGGUUUUCAAAUGCAGGUAAAUAAAUC
ensembl:lncRNA